AUUGAACGCUGGCGGCAGGCCUAACACAUGAAAGUCGAGCGGAGCGGCGGACGGGUGAGUAAUGCCUAGGAAUCUGCCUGGUAGUGGGGGAUCACGUCCGGAAACGGGCGCUAAUACCGCAUACUCUCAGAUCAGCCUAGGGCGGAUUAGCUAGUUGGUGGGGUAAAGGCCUACCAAGGCGACGAUCCGUAACUGGUCUGAGAGGAGGAUCAGUCAAACUGGAACUGAGACACGGCCCAGACUACUACGGGAGGCAGCAGUGGGGAAUAGUGGAAAAUGGGCGAAAGCCUGAUCCAGCCGUGCCGCUUGUGUGAAGAAGGUCUUAGGAUGGUAAAGCACUUUAAGUUGGGAGGCGUUACCAACAGAAUAAGCACCGGCUAACUUCGUGCCAGCAGCCGCGGUAAUAC
rnacentral:rRNA from 1 species